GAUGCUGGGAGCAAAGAGGCAGAAGUGAAAUGUCAACCAGAUGCUUCCUAUAGGUCACACACAUACUCAUCGGCUUUCCAUCAGCCCAGGGUGAUGAGGCCUGAGACACGCCUGCCCGCGGAAGGACACGGCCAGGUGUGGUUCGCCAGGUCCCGCCUCGAUGUCGAUGGCUGCUGCCUGGUCAGGAUGGUGGUUGCUGAAGGCUGGAGUGGCUGGGGCAAUUUCUUAAGAUAAGACUACGAUGAAAUUUGCUGCAUCGAUUGGCUCUUCCUUUCACAAACCAUUUCUCUGCAGCAUGCGAUGCUGUUUGAUGGCAUUUUACCCACAGUAGAACUGCUUUCAAAAUUGGAGUUCAGGACUCUUAAACCCUGCUGCGGCUUUAUCAACUCCGUUUAUGUACUAUUCUAAAGCCUUUGUUGUCAUUUCAACAAUCUUCACGGCAUCUUUACCAGGAGGAGAUUCCAUUUCAAGAAACCGCGUUCUUUGCUCAUCCACAAGAAUCAAUUCUUCAUCUGUUAAAGUUUUAUCGUGAGAUUGCAGUCGUUCAAAUAUAAUAAUGAAAACGUUUGGAAUACUGCAAGAAUUAUCGAAAUGUGACAGAGAGACACAAGGUGAGCAAAUGCUGUUGGAAAAAUGGCGCCAAUACACCUCCUUGACACAGGGUUUCCAUAAACCUUCGAUUUGUAAAAAAAAACCACGGUACCUGUGAAGAAAAGAGCUAUGCCUGUAUUCCAUGAUGCGAGUCUACUGCUCUUGUCUGGGGGCUCUGCUCUCUUUCACCAAAUACAACGUGCUCAGGA